rnacentral:rRNA from 1 species
CUGGGCGUUAAGUUGCAGGGUAUAGACCCGAAACCCGGUGAUCUAGCCAUGGGCAGGUUGAAGGUUGGGUAACACUAACUGGAGGACCGAACCGACUAAUGUUGAAAAAUUAGCGGAUGACUUGUGGCUGGGGGUGAAAGGCCAAUCAAACCGGGAGAUAGCUGGUUCUCCCCGAAAGCUAUUUAGGUAGCGCCUCGUGAAUUCAUCUCCGGGGGUAGAGCACUGUUUCGGCAAGGGGGUCAUCCCGACUUACCAACCCGAUGCAAACUGCGAAUACCGGAGAAUGUUAUCACGGGAGACACACGGCGGGUGCUAACGUCCGUCGUGAAGAGGGAAACAACCCAGACCGCCAGCUAAGGUCCCAAAGUCAUGGUUAAGUGGGAAACGAUGUGGGAAGGCCCAGACAGCCAGGAUGUUGGCUUAGAAGCAGCCAUCAUUUAAAGAAAGCGUAAUAGCUCACUGGUCGAGUCGGCCUGCGCGGAAGAUGUAACGGGGCUAAACCAUGCACCGAAGCUGCGGCAGCGACGCUUAUGCGUUGUUGGGUAGGGGAGCGUUCUGUAAGCCUG